UACGUAGGGGGCAAGCGUUGUCCGGAAUUAUUGGGCGUAAAGAGCGCGUAGGCGGUCCGAUAAGUCGGCUGUGAAAGUCAGGGGCUCAACCCUUGAAAGCCGGCCGAUACUGUCGGACUAGAGUCCGGAAGAGGCAAGUGGAAUUCUCGGUGUAGCGGUGAAAUGCGUAGAUAUCGAGAGGAACACCUGCGGCGAAGGCGGGUUGCUGGGCCGACACUGACGCUGAUGCGCGAAAGCCAGGGGAGCGAACGGG
rnacentral:rRNA from 1 species